rnacentral:rRNA from 1 species
GACGUAGGGGCCGAGCGUUGUCCGGAGUUACUGGGCGUAAAGGGCGCGCAGGCGGUUGAUCACAUCGGCGGGUAAAGCCCCCCGCUCAACGGGGGAGGGUCCGUCGAGAUGGGCCGACUGGAGGCAGGGAGAGGGCGGUGGAAUUCCGGGUGUAGUGGUGAAAUGCGUAGAUAUCCGGAGGAACACCAGUGGCGAAGGCGGCCGCCUGGACCUGACCUGACGCUGAGGCGCGAAGGCGUGGGGAGCGAACGGG